rnacentral:rRNA from 1 species
ACNCUCGACACCUACGGUAGGCAGCAGUGGGGAAUAUUGCACAAUGGGGGAAACCCUGAUGCAGCAACGCCGCGUGAAGGAAGACGGUUUUCGGAUUGUAAACUUCUGUUCUUAGUGAAGAUAGUGACGGUAGCUAAGGAGCAAGCCACGGCUAACUACGUGCGNNCGCGAGUAUNGNGGCGGCGNGACGAG